CACGGAAGGCUGGCGGACGGGCCCCUCGCCAACCCGGUCAGGUCCGGAAGGAAGCAGCCGUAACGAGUUUCGGUUCGGGUCGUUCAGCCUUCCACUUUU
rnacentral:SRP_RNA from 1 species